GAUGAACGCUAGCGGCAGGCCUAACACAUGCAAGUCGAGGGGUAGAACACUUCGGUGUUUGAGACCGGCGCACGGGUGCGUAACGCGUAUGCAAUCUACCUUGUACAGGGGAAUAGCCCAGAGAAAUUUGGAUUAAUGCCCCAUAGUAUAUAACCUUCGCAUGUUGGUUAUAUUAAAGUUCCAACGGUACAAGAUGAGCAUGCGUCCUAUUAGUUAGUUGGUAAGGUAACGGCUUACCAAGACGAUGAUGGGUAGGGGUCCUGAGAGGAAGAUCCCCCACACUGGUACUGAGAAACGGACCAGACUCCUACGGGAGGUAGCAGUGAGGAAUAUUGGUCAAUGGACGCAAGUCUGAACCAGCCAUGCCGCGUGCAGGAUGAAGCAUCUAUGGUGUGUAAACUGCUUUUGUACGGGAAGAAACACUCCUACGUGUAGGAGCUUGGCGGUACCGUAAGAAUAAGGAUCGGCUAACUCCGUGCCAGCAGCCGCCGUAAGAC
rnacentral:rRNA from 1 species